ensembl:lncRNA novel transcript, sense intronic to SOGA2
CCAAAGUGCGUAACUAAGCCUGGGACCUCACAAAUAAGUCUCUUCCCUAAUGGCCACCUGAUUUUCAUCAGACUUGCCCUGGUUUCCUAAGCCUUUGGGCUGAUAACUGUGUUUACAGCUUGUUAAAUAUGUGCCUCAUUUAUUCUUUCCCGGAUCCACAUUCAUUCUUGGGAAGCUCUCAGUGGCAUUUGUGGAGACCACAGCCCAGAGCCCUCCUGGACAGGAUCACCGGGCAGACUCUUGGCCAGAGGGCAGAGGACUUCUGUGUGUAAAUGACUCUAAUUCCCAUGAUAUUAAUAGAUUAUAUUUUCAGGGUCUGUCUUGAGUGGCCCAUUCUCUGUAGGGGAUAAUGGUUUUUAGAAAAGAACUUUUCUGGAUGUAACAAUGAAGGUUACAUUGAGGAGAACGACAAAUGGCUCAUUUAUAAAAAUGCUGCUGGCUGUGUGAAUGUAUCAAUUCUAGCUAAUCUCACAGUAAAGAAUUUGUCCAGGGACUCCUGCUGGUGGAGGAGUUGCCUGUGUUGAAUGCUAAGUGAGGUCUCAAAAAGGAGCUGUGCGUGCCUUGUGGGGGUCUGGGCAGCUACCACAUCAUUCUGGAAUUCUCCUGCCUCUGUCAAGGAGCCUGAAUAAACGUGGAUGCUAUCACCUCUA